AGCAGCCGCGGUAAUUCCAGCUCCAAUAGCGUAUAUUAAAGUUGUUGCAGUUAAAAAGCUCGUAGUUGAAUUUCGGGGUUAGUAGGUUGGUCAUGCCUCUGGUAUGUACUGGUCUCACUGAUUCCUCCUUCCUGAUGAGCCGUAAUGCCAUUAAUUUGGUGUUGCGGGGAAUUUGGACUGUUACUUUGAAAAAAUUAGAGUGUUUAAAGCAAGCUAACGCUUGAAUACAUUAGCAUGGAAUAAUGAAAUAGGACGUUCGAUCCUAUUUUGUUGGUUUCUAGGAUUGACGUAAUGAUUAAUAGGGAUAGUUGGGGGCAUUAGUAUUCAAUUGUCAGAGGUGAAAUUCUUGGAUUUAUUGAAGACUAACUACUGCGAAAGCAUUUGCCAAGGAUGUUUUCAUUAAUCAAGAACGAAAGUUAGGGGAUCGAAGACGAUCAGAUACCGUCGUAGUCUUAACCAUAAACUAUGCCGACUAGGGAUCGGAUGAUGUUAAUUUUUAAUGACUCAUUCGGCGCCUUAC
rnacentral:sRNA from 1 species